CCAACAGUGUGGGCUCCUAAGCGCUUCCCCACCACUUAAGUUCUGUGUCUUCAGCAGAUCCAGGACUGCCGCUGCUUUUUGAGAAACCUGCACUCUCCCUUCUUCAUCUUUCUAUUUCUUGUGGGCUCCUCUGCAGCUUUGAUAAUUCAGGUUUCUGUGACCAAUUGCUUUGGAAUGGCUCAGGCAUAUGCUUUCAAUAACUGUUUUUGAUUUGAAAUAAACAGGCUUC
rnacentral:lncRNA from 1 species